AAGAAAAGUCAUAGCUGGCUAUUUGAAGGAGAAAAAGGAAUGAGAGAAGUCGGUUGUGAGGGAGAGAACGAAGCCGACCAAAGCUGAGAAGAAAAGAAAGAAGAAAAGAGAAAGAAAGGAAGGAAAAUAAUGAAAGAGAGGAAGCAGUUGAUUAUGAGUGAGAGGGAAGAGGUGUUGCCGGUUUUGGGUGAGUUAAAGGAGGAAAAAAAGCAGCUUUUAAGAUAAUGAGAGAGAAGAGAUGUCAUCGGUUUUGGGUGAGGAAGAGAAAGGAAAGGCGACAGCUUUUGGGGUGAAAGAGUAGAUCAAUGGAAGCUGUUAAUGUUAGAGAGAAAAGGGAGUAGCCAGAUUUUAAGGAAAAAAAAAAGAAGAAAAAAAUGGUAAGUUAAUAUUAUAUUAAAGUUUAUGCGUCGUUUAAUAUUGUGCAUAUUUUGGAUGAAAUAUUUGCAAUUUGGUUAAGGAAUUUUUAUUAAGCUGUUCCCCAUACAAGUGUGUGAUUCAGUAUAUUGGGUUUAAAUUAUUGCUAGGAAAGUUUGUCGUGGAAGCGUGCCGGACGAAGUACGUGACUGGCAAAUAGGAAUAAUUAUAAACGUGUACGAAUCACUAGCGACGUAGUAAUCCCGCUAUUGUGAGGUGAGUAGGGGGUGCCAAUUUUAAAAUUUUCGUAAAUAUAUACCUAUACGUAUGAUUUAUUUUAAAAGUGAAAAUUAUGGAUAGCAUGUGCUGGUAGCAAUCUUAGGAAAUUGUGGCUGCAAAUUAUGUUUAGAAAUCGUUUUGAAUAUACAUAUGUAUAAAUUAUAUGUAAAGAGUUUUGAAAAUCGAGAAACAAGCCCUUCGCACUGUUUUGCCUCAAAAUCUAUGCCUUAUAUUUAUGCAGCGUGCAUUCGUGAUUAUAAUGCAUAUUCACCAUGCGAGUUGUUGUUUCGAAAUUCAUGCAUAAAUUUUAUUUUAUGAAAAUGAUAAUGGAUUGAUCAUACCCUGUGUUGAAUGCUUCAGAAAUAAUUUUGAGACGAGCUUUUAAGGACAUAACACAAUUUUAAAAUGGUUUUACAAACCGAGAGAUUCUAGAGUAGGCCGAUUGUCACUUCGGUUAAGUGUGACCCUCGUGAACAAGUGAGCUCUAGCUAAAGGAUCUUUGGGUCGUCGUCGGGCGAUUAGGCAUGGCAAAGACCACAGCCUGCGAUACAUGUAUACGUGGCUAGGCCACCAGAUGAGUACGCGGUUGCGACCGCUUGAUUCUCCAAUGUUGGCCAACAUCGUUGAGACUGCCAUGGCAUAUGGGAUCCGGUGGAGCGAGGCUCCUGGAGGUUAUUACGUGGUAGCAAGACCACAGAUUUUAUUUGAUUUCCUACUCGAGACCAAAAAUCUCUUUGGGUUUUCAGACUCUUAUUUCUUGCAUGGUGAAAACGAAAUUAUACGGUUUCUUGCAGCUUCCCUUGGUUUUACUGUUAUAUGAAUUUUACCCUCACGUGCGAGGCGAUUUACUAACUAUGUAUAAACCUAGUUACUAUUUGGUUUUGCAGGAGCUUGCCCAACUUUAUUGAUUUGAUUUGAGUAUUACAUGAGAUAAUUUCGAUUGCAAAGAUCUUUUACGAACACGAGAUUUAGAAAUGAUAUUCGAAAUGAUUUGGUUCGAAUGUGGUUAAUAACUAUCUUGAUGCACAAAAUUUUACUUAGUUUGAUUUGAUAUACACUUUAGUUGGUUACAACUUACAAGAAAUUCUCGAUAUUAUUUUCUAUAUAUAUAUAAGGCACAAAUCUCUGUUUGAAUUAAAUAUUUUUAUCUACUCUUACAAUUUUUAUUAUUCAAAAUCUCAACCUUAUUGCUUGUUUCCCAUCUAUCCCUUGCUCACGGAGCCGAUGAUCACUAAGUCUGUGAUACUCACACCCCUCUUUUUCCCCUUUUUGCAGACAAAGAUUGGCCUAACGUGUAAUCAUCGACGUGUAUGAUCCACUACAAAUAGGUAAAGGCAUCUCAUAGCAUUUUAUCCUGAGUCACUCCGUUGUUAGAGGUCGAGUCAUAGCACUUUAUUUAUUGAGUUGUAAACGAAUAUUGAUUUUGUUAUAAGUAAAUAAUUGAAGAAUGUGAAUUUCGAUGUAUAUACUUGUGAUUAAAUGGUUUAAAGCUUGAAUCGAUUAUUAUGUUUAUGGUUUAAAUCAUGGUAUGAGAGUAUAUUGUUUUUAGUAUCAAUAUGGAAUGGGAUCGUAUAUAGUGAACUAAUGGGCAUUUUGAGUAAGGCUUGUUCAGGACUUGGUGGGUCUUUCCCGGAGAUCUCGAACGCCGGUAGCAACCGA
rnacentral:lncRNA from 1 species